AUGCAUCAGGAAACAAGCCAGGAAGAGACUGUGGAUCCAGAAGCAGGCGAGUUCGGAGAGGCCUCCCUGAAGGCAUAGGGCACACUAGGAGAGUAUAAGGUAGUGGGUCCUAUCCGCCCACCCCCAAAUGCCACACACCGCCCCUCUACCUCAUGCGAAUCUUUGCACCUAAUCAUGUCGUCUCAAAGUCCAGCUUCUGGUACUUCGUAUCUCAAUUAAACAAGAUGAAGAAGUUUUCAGGGGAGAUUGCCUACUCUGGGCGGGUGUUUGAGAAGUCCCCUCUGCGGGUGAAGUACUUCCGCAUCUGGCUGCGCUGUGACUCCCUGAGCCGCACCCACAACCUUUAUCGGGAAUACCAGCACCUGACCACCGCGGGCGCUGUCACCCAGUGCUACCGAGUCUUGAGCGCCCCGCACUGCGACCAGGCCCACUCCAUCCAGAUCAUGAAGGUGGAGGAAGAUCGCAGCCGGCAAGUGCAGCCGCCGUCCUUUAAGCAGUUCCACGACUCCAAGGUCAAGUUCCCGCUGCCCCACCGGGUCCUGCGCCGUCAGCACAAGCCACGCUUCACCACCAAGAGGCCCAACACCUUCUUCUAGAUGCAGGGCCCUCGCCCAGAUGUGCCCCAAAUAAAAUCGGGAAGGCCAAAAAA